AGUCGCUCUGCAACCUGUAGGAGGAUCUUCACGUGCUGUUCGAAGCUCUCGGAUAUAAUCAGCAAGUCGUCGAGGCGUUGUGCAGCGUUGCAAAGACCGAAGGGCAUUAUCCGGAACUGGUAUAAUGGUCUUCCUGGCACUGUGAAAGCAGUGUAGGCUCGGCUCGGCUCGUCCAGCUCGAUUUGCCAAAAUGCGAAUUUUAAAUCGACGCUGGAGAUGUAUAUCGUCUGGUCGAGACGCGACAAAAUCCCCUCGAUGCUAGGCAGUGGAUAGGCGUCCUUGAUGGUCACCUUGUUGAGCUUUCGGUCAUCGAGACAGAACCGAUUUUUCCCCGGCCGUCGCACAACCGUAGUGCGCUUGCUCCACGGGCUAUCACUGUGCUCGAUGACUCCUAAAGCCAACAUCUUGUCCACCUCCACAAAAACCACGUCCUGCAUCGCUGGCGAUAAUGGAUAAUGUCGAUCCUUUACAGGCUCGGCAUUCUCCACAAGCUGGAUUUUAUGCGUCUCUAUCGACGUCUUGCCCAGGCCUACCCCUUCAAAUGUCAGAAUUUCUGCCUUCACCUUAUCCAAGACGAUUUUCUGCUCCUCCGACAACUCCCAUUCCUCCUGCACAAUUUCCUUCUCCGGUCCUUCUACAUAGUGAGCGACUUGGUCAGCCAUCACUUCUUCUACCAAUCUGUGUGAUGCACCUACAGGACAUUCUCCCAUCACCUCAGGAGCCAAUGCAAAAGCCCGCCAAAAGUCUACACCCAACCAAUUCCACUCGACCAACGAUUGCGCGAUCUUCUCCAUUUGCCACCUUAACUAUGGACGAAUAGCGACGAGCCACUACACCCAGCUUCUCCAAGAACUCCUGGCCAUUCUUGCCUAACAUGCUGUGCGUAGCGCCUGAGUCCAACAACCCUCUAAUGGAUUCCCCCAUUAUCGAGAUUCCAGCGAAUACUCUUGGGUAGCUUUUGCUACAGCGCUGUACUGAGGCAAUCACCUGUCUCCUCACCGAUCGUCUCUGCUUAAACCGGGAUCUUGCCUUCUUUACCCGAACUGACAGUGCUCGCAUCCCAUCCACCUUUAAGUCGGAAAAUAUUCUAUUACGGACCUUUAAGUAAUUCCUUAACCGCUCUUCAUACGUUCGCAGGCCCCAUCUGUGAGCGUGUUUCGCCUGCUUGAAUCGCGCUCUUCUUCGCGUUUCCCGCACAAUUCGGACAGGUCGGACAAUAUGCAUCGGGCUUUCCACAGCGGUAGCAGAAGAUUCGCGUCUCUGCUGCCAUACAGUCCCGAAAACCAUGAUCCGUUUUCCCGCAGUUCCAGCAAGUCAACUUUACUGGACCCCGCCUUGUCACUUGCGCCUCCUCACAGACUUAUGCCUCCUCAUUGCUUCUCGACAGAUCCUGCGCGACCUCACUGACGUUCGCUCCUCGGCCAAAGUUGGUGGCUUUUGGUGCUCCUCGCCACGAAGAUCGGGACUUCCGCUUCAAGUGUGCCUCUAUUUCCACGCAUUCAUCACGCAGUUGGUCUAUGGAGUACACUCGUGGUGGCGUCUCUACCCUCGAAGAAAGCUUCCUCAUGGCAUGAAAAAAGUCUUCCACGCUCUCGUUUGGCCGUUGCAUCCGUUCCCGCAGUUCUCUCAUUCGGUCGAACUCGGAAGCUGUGCCUCGGAAACGUGCAACUAAAUCAUCCCUCAACUCCUGCCAGUUACCACCACGAUGAUCCCGGACAUCGCAUUUGCGCCUGCAGGAAUUCGACUCGGAAAACGAAAUCCUCUACGGUCACUUUAUUGGCGUCGCCAUCGAAAGUCACGUCCCACUUCUCGACUCGGCCCCACCGAGGCCACGAUCGGUAAUGGGACGACUGUGGAUGCUGCUCCUCACGUGGGCUGCUGGUUGUUCUCCCACCGAAUCUUCUAUUCCCGCUACGACCCGUACCUUGCUGCCUCGUUAUCGGGUUUAGCCAAUUUUGAGCCCGAUGAUCACCCCGUCGAUGCUGGUCUGCAGAUGCCAUCGCCCCUACUCCUGAAGACGGUUCCGGACCAUUCCCAUCGUGCCCCGACCGUGACAAACGUGGUUUUGGUGGCGGUAUGGCCGCUUCAGUCGAACUCGACGGUUUCCUCUUCGAAUAGUUCUUUUUAGAGGAGGACACUUGACUAGCCGGGACCAACAACCGCUCCAGUUUCUGCGCUCCACUUGACAGUCGUCCUACGGAUACACUACAUUCACAAAACACCCCUUUUGUGUGACUUGUCGCCUACACUAGUCAUCACUUUGAGUGAUGGCCGAUAAGCGAGAAGCCUCACGGUGCACCAGUUCAACAUUCUUGUGUCUUGUCCCCGCCAUCCAUCCUACCGAUUUGCCGUGACAGCCGAUGCAUCGCGGACUGUCAUUACGACACCCGGGCCACAGACUCCUCACAACAUCUCGGCGGACAGACAACCAAACCAAAACACGAAAGCGACUAUUUACAAACAAACAGAUUUAUUCGAUACCACCAGGCAAUGUGUCCGUCGCAAACUACCAGUUCCUUCGUGGAACAGCAGUGACUUACGUCCACUAGCGACAUCGAACUGUGGCGAAACGCAACAUGGAACUCCGUUGGCCACUCCGCGCCAUUAAGGGUCAGCUUUGCGCUCCCCUUAAGCCUGCAGCAGCGACUUCUGCCGGGACAGCUAAACUGCAUUUCGCGAGCCGUCGUCUUCUCUACAAAAAAUUUUAUUUUUAUUUAUUUCUCCAAUGCAUUCCCCUCUACACGUCCAGGAGUCAUUUGUUACAAUGACACCUGGAGUUGCGUCAGUCCAAAUGCAUUGGAACAAUAAAUUAUUGGGCGCCAUUUGUUACAGCCGGCGUUGCCCCACGAGCCGCAAGCCGAAUGUAACAUAUUUACGGCAUAUUUUGAAAAUGACGUUUCUGAGGUUCCAGUCACACUCGACAAAACAAGUCAAUUGAAAUAUUUAU